rnacentral:misc_RNA from 1 species
AUAAUAACAACCCUACUAGUGUUUAUUAGCCUUUUCUCUUUUUACUCCUGCUUCUUCUUUCGCCGGUGUUCAGUUCUCUGCUUGGAGAAAUGGCUGAAGAAACAAAGGCAGAGGCUAUUAUCCCUGAAUCUGUGUUGAAGAAAAGGAAGAGAAGUGAGGAGUGGGCUUUGUUAAAGAACCAAGAACUGAAGGCAAAGAAGGAAAAAAAAUGCUGAAAAUAGAAAGA